rnacentral:lncRNA from 1 species
CGAGACAGCUAAGGGGGAAGAGAAAGAUGUCACUGGCUCUAAUCUCCCUGUCAUUUGGGUUUCUAGCAGGAGCUGGGCGAAGGAGCCGCUAGAACAAUGCUGAGGUGGGGGAGGUGAGGAGUGUCUUAAACAGGUGAUCAGGGGAGACCAAGCCACCUGGGCACCCUCCCCGGACUCAGCCCAGCCGGCACCCCAAAGACAGUGGGGCAACCAUGGCGACCAAUUUCAACGACAUCGUCAAGCAAGGCUAUGUGAAGAUGAAGAGCAGGAAGCUUGGGAUUUACCGGAGGUGCUGGCUGGUGUUCCGAAAAUCUUCCAGUAAGGGGCCCCAGCGGCUGGAGAAGUAUCCUGAUGAGAAGUCAGUGUGCCUCCGAGGCUGCCCCAAG